rnacentral:tRNA from 1 species
GCCGAAGUGGUGAAAUUGGUAGACACGCUACGUUCAGGUCGUAGUGAGGGCAACCUCAUGGGAGUUCGAGUCUCCCCUUCGGCA